rnacentral:sRNA from 1 species
GGGCCCUGACCGGCGCGACCCGUGGCCAGGGACAGGGACAGCGCGCGCCUGAGGCCGCAGGCCCCGGACGCCGUCUGCUGGGUCCUCGCCGGAGGCUGUUCCAAGCCUGAGUGGCUGCGUCUGCCGAGGACGUUGGUGACCCUGGUCUCUGAGGACAUGGACAUCUUCCAGCAACAGAUCUCGAGAAGACAGCUGGCUAAAAUCCUUAUUUGUCCGGAAAGUUGAUCCAAGAAAAGAUGCCCACUCCAAUCUCCUAGCCAAAAAGGAAACAAGCAAUCUAUACAAAUUACAGUUUCACAAUGUUAAACCGGAAUGCCUAGAAGCAUACAACAAAAUUUGCUCCCUGUUUCCAGAACAUAAAGACUUAACUCCUGCCUGGUUUUUAGGGGUCCCAGUAAUGGGAUUCUGCCCAACCCAUCCAGUUCUGGGUACAAGUACUGCCUGCCUUACAAUCUCCAUUCAGUCAAGAGGUGUUGCCAAAGAUUCACGAAGAU